UACGUAGGGUGCAAGCGUUGUCCGGAAUUAUUGGGCGUAAAGAGCUCGUAGGCGGUUGUGGAAGUCGGAUGUGAAAUACCGGGGCUCAACUCCGGGGCGCCAUUCGAUACUCCACUGACUAGAGUCCGGUAGGGGAAGGUGGAAUUCCUGGUGUAGCGGUGAAAUGCACAGAUAUCAGGAAGAACACCCGUGGCGAAGGCGGCUCUCUGGGACGGUACUGACGCUGAGACGCGAAAGCGUGGGGAGCGAACAGG
rnacentral:rRNA from 1 species